AGAGUUUGAUCCUGGCUCAGGAUGAACGCUAGCGGCAGGCCUAAUACAUGCAAGUCGGACGGGAUUUGGGAGCUUGCUCCUGAUGAGAGUGGCGCACGGGUGCGUAACACGUAUGUAACCUACCUUAAUCUGGGGGAUAGCCUCUCGAAAGAGAGAUUAACACCGCAUAACAUUACGUCAUAGCAUUUUGGUGUAAUCAAAUAUUUAUAGGAUUAAGAUGGGCAUGCGGAACAUUAGCUAGUUGGUAAGGUAAUGGCUUACCAAGGCAACGAUGUUUAGGGGAUCUGAGAGGAUGGCCCCCCACACUGGUACUGAGACACGGACCAGACUCCUACGGGAGGCAGCAGUAAGGAAUAUUGGUCAAUGGGCGCAAGCCUGAACCAGCCAUGCCGCGUGCAGGAAGACGGCCCUAUGGGUUGUAAACUGCUUUUGUACCGGAAUAAACCCUUUUACGUGUAGAAGGUUGAAUGUACGGUAAGAAUAAGGAUCGGCUAACUCCGUGCCAGCCGCCGCGGUAAUAC
rnacentral:rRNA from 1 species